UUGGAUUGUUCCAACCAGGAAGCAACAUCCCAAUUUCUCUAUCAUCAUCCAUCUUUCAAAUUGUAUUCUUUCUCAUUCCAUCAACUCUACCAUGAUCAAAAGAUACCACCAAAUCGCACAAAAACUAUAUUUCUAUUCAUCCUCCAAGCUACCUCAACCUUGAAGCAUAAAUAAGUGAAUACGAUAAAAUUGCUUGAAAC
rnacentral:misc_RNA from 1 species